rnacentral:rRNA from 1 species
CCUACGGGUGGCUGCAGUGAGGAAUAUUGGUCAAUGGACGCAAGUCUGAACCAGCCAUGCCGCGUGCAGGACGACGGUUCUAUGAGUUGUAAACUGCUUUUGUCCGAGGACAAAAGCAGACUCGCGAAUCUGUCUGAAGGUACCGUACGAAUAAGCAUCGGCUAACUCCGUGCCAGCAGCCGCGGUAAUACGGAGGAUUCAAGCGUUAUCCGGAUUUAUUGGGUUUAAAGGGUGCGUAGGCGGUCGGUUAAGUUAGAGGUGAAAUCCCGGGGCUCAACUUCGGAAUUGCCGCUGAUACUGUUCGGCUAGAGAGUAGUUGCGGUAGGCGGAAUGUAUGGUGUAGCGGUGAAAUGCUUAGAGAUCAUACAGAACACCGAUUGCGAAGGCAGCUUACCAAGCUACUUCUGACGUUGAGGCACGAAAGCGUGGGUAGCAAAUGGGAUUAGAUACCCGUGUAGUC